AUUGAACGCUGGCGGCAUGCCUAACACAUGCAAGUCGAACGAGCGGCGGACGGGUGAGCAAUGUCUGGGAACCUGCCUGAUGGAGGGGGAUAACUAUUGGAAACGGUAGCUAAUACCGCUUACCAUCAGAUGUGCCCAGAUGGGAUUUGCUUGUUGGUGGGGUAAAGGCGCACCCAGGCGACGACCCCUAGCUGUUCUGAGAGUAUGACCGGCAACACUGGAACGGAGCAACGGUCCAGACGCCUCCGGAGGGAAGCAGUGGGGAAUAUUGGACAAUGGGGGCAAGCUUGACGCAGCCAUGCCGCGUGUAUGAAGAAGGCCUUGGGUUUGUAAAGUACUUUCAGCGGGGAGGCGUUAACCGCAGAAGAAGCGCCGGCUAACUCCGUGCCAGCCGCCGCGGUAAUUC
rnacentral:rRNA from 1 species